CUGGUAGGUCAACAUAUAAAUAGUCCAUAUGAAAUAACCAAAGGUGAAGCCUGAGUUUGUAUGCUCCUGUG